ACUUCUAGGCUACCUACACACCCGUUCUACGGUCCGAGAAAGACCUACACUUUACACAGGCACACAGCCUUUUCUGUAAAAGUACAAAAGUAGUGACCUCAUUCUGGGUUCUGAUGAAAAUGGACCUGAUGCACAUCUGAUGACACAAAACCUCAGGAUGAUCUUAAUGAGAAGAUGAAAAAUUACAAUUAACAUAAAUUUAUGUUUAAGGAAUGUACUGUUGCUUUUUGCAAUUGUCAACUAAAUGCAAAUCAAUCAAUUACAAUGCAAACUAAGUUUUUGAAUAUCAUUUGUUAAAUUGGGUAAUCCAUUGAAAUAAAACAUUUUCCCAGUCCUCGGGACCCAAAGUUCUGCACAUUUUCCAUUUGUGCCUGAGCUACUCAGACCACAUCAGGUGUGUUCAGCCAAUCAACAGCUGGCUGAACAAUGGAACACACCUGACAGGCUCAUUUAAAUGAAAUUAGAGCAGAUAGAAAUGGAAAAUGAGCAGUACUUUGGGUCCCAAGGAGCUGGUUUGGGAAACACUGAAAUAUAAAGCACCACCUUUAAAAAGCUCGGAGUGAUCUGCUGAUCUGAAUCUAAGUACAGGUUCAGCCUAUUCAGCUACCAAUCUACAUCACAUUCACAAAGACAAGUGGCAUUUAUGAGCUUCGGCAGCAGAUCAAAACUAGUCUGACCCAUCAGCUCUUCAGACUGGUGAAAUGGAAUACUGACUGCGUGUCAAGACACCCACAAGCAUUUUUACAGUAAAGGUGAGACCAGAAAUGCCGUUCUUCAAAAUCUGACAGUCAGGCAGCUUCCCUUUAACAAUGGCCUGUGGCUUCAUAGAACAGGACUAAGUUGACCUUAAUGACAGUCGCCAUCAUUAUAAAAAAAAAAGCUACUAAAACCAGUGGUCACCAAAGAUGUAAUCAAUGUGAACUGCAAAAACAUUCAGAUGAAUGACAUUUCAUCUGAAUGUUUUUGCAGUCUUUUGCAGUCUUCAUUGUCGUUAUUGAUCUUUGACAAUAUGCAUGACAUUAUCCAAGAGCCAGCACACCUUAUUACACUUUAAAAGAACGCGUGAUAGCACAUCAAAUUCCUUAGCUUUCAAAGGCAAUGUAUUAGUUUUAGAGCUGUGUGAAGACAUCUGGCAACUGGUGUCAUGUGUAACAGCAUCCACACUAUGGAACCAUCAACUACCUAGGAAAAACAACCAACCCAUUCGCACCUCGAGAAAGUAACCAUCUAUCUGCUGCAGUCAUGUGAAAUAUGGGCAUUCUCUUGACCUUCUCCAGCUGCUGGGGUCCUCAACACUGAGGUAGCAGUACCCAAGCUGGUACCAAAGACAUCCAGGUGUCCUCUGAGGUUUCCAGUUAGUGUGUAAGUCUGUUUACAUACAGUAAGACAUGAGGCACCUAGACCUCAAAGACCUGAACCUUUGUUCUCCCGCAAAGCUACUGGCAUCGCUGAAGACCUCUGUCCAGUGAUCUAAUGAUGCCAUUAGCUCUUCACAGGCAUCGCUCAAUCUAAAAUAGACAUAAAGAUCAGUGGUGCAGCAUCUACAUGCUGGAUCAUGGUGGAAAUGUGCCACACAGCCAAAAUGACAUGACUCUCAUUCCCUCACAAUGUGAUACUCUUCCAACAUCUCUGAAAGUAACUUUGCAUUUAUAGCCCUUCCAGCUUUACCCAAGGACAGUCUGAAGAGACCUAGUAUCACAGACAUCUAAUUGACACCUUGCAUCACCGGUUAAUGUCCAAGUCUCACAACCACACAGUAAGCCUGGAUGCACCAGCAACCUAAAGACAACAGCAGUGACUGAGUAAGCAGGUACAGUAAAACUUUGAGAACCAGAGAGCCUCUAGUUCACACCAAGAGACGACAAACUGUGCACGCGAUUCCAGUAGAAACGUAUAAACUCUGUUCUACCUGAUCGGUUGUGAACUUUUACAUGUUCUACGAUAGUGUGGAUUUGUGGCAAAGCACAACCUGCAGCCUUCUUACUGUUGCUGUCUGUAUACGUCCCUGAAGUAGUGAAUUAAACUGCUUAAAAAGGUCUGUGACUCAUCUUAAAAAAAAAAAAACCUACUGGACCAAAAGACGUCACAAACCAAAUAUAUGGCUUCUGAUGAUGACUUCGGAAUCAAAGAAUCUUCUGCUGUUCAUGCCAACAAAGCAUCUUCUGAUUUCUGUUCACAUCCUGCAAUACAAACUGCAA